CAAGGAGUAGUUUAAAUCUUGAGAAUUCUAGCUUUGGGAGCUGGAGGUAGGAGUUAAAGUCUCCUUUCUUUGA
rnacentral:tRNA from 1 species